rnacentral:lncRNA from 1 species
UGGAGUUUUGAGUAGAAUGGACUUUAUUAAAAAUUUGGAAAUAGUAUAUUUACAUCGAAACAAUGCAGACAUAGUUUAAAAAGUGAAUGUAAUUAGAUAGACCUGUCUUAAGAUCUUCCCCUCCAAUGGGGAAUCUUCACAGACUGCCCGACCUCUCGGUGUGUCUCAGCCUUAUUCCAUCCUGCUCUUCUCUCUUCCCUCCUGCUCCUUGAUUGCCCAACAGGACCAUACAUUCUUCCUCUGGAACACAAAGCAGUUCAGCUCUGCCUGCUCUCACUCAGUCUCCGAGGUUGGCAUCUGACUGUCCUCCCUCAUAAAUCUGCACCACGGCUCAGCAGAGCGGAAAAGCAAUCCAUGAAGCAGCAAUUCAUCCUAUCAGAUGCUCCAGCCUCAGAACCUAUGAAUGCCCAUGGGAGACAAGUUUUCCCACAUAUAAAGGUAGAUGUCAUUAAAGACACAUGUAGAACUUAAAACAGCCAGAUUAUUUUUGAGACUAUAUUCUCUCUGGUUCUCAGCUUAUAUAAGAGAAAGUGAAUGAUUUAUUAAGAUAGGUUCUAAAGUGAAUCAAUGAGAGUAAAAAGCAUGGCGGAGGGAAAACUGUUGCUCUCAUAAUCAAGUGAAGAAGCCUCCAAGAGAAGCCAUCAUGGAGAGGAAGUUGUCUCCAGGAAGAAUGGCCAGCAUCACAUGCCCAGCUGGAUGCAUCUGAGGGGUAGAAACCUGUAGGUCCCUUUUGCUGCUCUCAGAAAUUAGUAGGACAGGCUCCCUGGGGGAAAUUGAUACAUAUUUCUAUAAAUUUAGGACACGAGUUGGUUCAAAGACCAACGUCCUGUUUCUCCAUGGAGAAAGCUAACGAUGGGAGGCUGGCAGAGUUACACGGGGCUGAAGAGAGACUGGCAGGGCAGGAUGCCUGAACUUUUACUUGUGGCAGGCCCAGAGGGGCCCACAGGUGACAGGCUAAAGCCAUAUGCACCUCUGUCUUCAUGUCAAGGAAACAAAUCUAAGUUUCUAUAGCAAAGGACAAGAGUUGGGGGUGGAAGAGCAGUUGUUAGAUGUCACUUGGAAGAUACUUCACCCCCAUGUUCUCACACAGGGUCUCUAAAGGCCCUCAAGCAUGCCUCCUGAGGAAGAGCCAACAUCCAACUUCUUGCCUUGACAAACGGGUUCAACAGCAAAGAUAAAUUAUAAGUAAGGCUUUGUGGGAAGGAGGGAUGCAGGGACAUCCUGUGAGAGAUGUGAUCAUGUGUGCUCAUUCUCUGCAGCUUGUCUCAGUUGUGAGAGCAAACAGGUGUAGUCCUGUUUAUGAAACAGAACGAGCAGUAGGCAGGCCAGAGAGUGCUCUUUUUGUCCAAAAGGACAGGUGCUGAUUGGCUCUGGCAAGUUGCUGCAAUGAAAUUCCAGUGUCACCAGACCUUCAGGCUUUCAAAAAUGUCAGAACACUGGAUUUUCAUGUGAAACAAUCUAAUUUUCAAAAGUGUAUAUAUUUUAAACAGAUUCUGUACUGAGCUUUUGAAUACCUGAAAAUUAAAUUAUUUGUCUCAUCAAAAACACUGGCAAAGUCUUGAGAUUUGCCCAAACUGCAAGUACCAAGAAGACGGUGGUAAAUUUUUUGAAGGUUGAUAUGACUGGCCUUGUGUUUCAGGGACUUUGCUUUGGCUUCUGGGAGGAGGGUGGACUAUAAAGUGAAAGAGUAGAAAUGGGAAGGUCAGAGAGAGGCUAUUGCUGUAGUCAGACAAGAAGUUAAGAUCGGCUGAACUAGGGGUGUGCUGCUUGAGUAAAACAUACAGGAAGUGACUAAUGUGAGGUAAGGAGAAGAGCUGAUAAAAAGAACUAUUAUUGAUAAUUAUCUAAUAACAGAGUGGAAGAUUUUGCUAUUCAAUAAGAUGUUGAACUACAAAGUCGAAGCAGAUGUUGAAUUCAGCAAUAAGCAUUUGAAGUAUAACGUGCAGCAUCUAUGUGGAGAAUCUAUUUGAUCUUUCAUGCGUAAGACUUAAUCAGGAGAAAGAUUUGAGCUGGUUUGCCAAUAAUGUCAUUAACAUAGGGCUUACUUUUGAAAUUAUGUGAAUGGAGGAGGAGUUUGUCUAAGAAAAGUGUAUACGACGAGCAGAAAAAGCCCAGCUCAUACUGCAAAGGAAUAAUAUGAUGAAGAAAGAAGAAUCCAGAAAGGCAAUAAGAAAGAACAUGGGAGGAGUAACAUGGAUGGGCAUGGUCAGGAAGAAUGUGGAAGGAGACAGACCCAGAGAGAGUGGACUAAACAUCUCCCACAGCAGCAAGGUGGUCAUAAUGAGCUUGUAUUUGUGAACAGGAUCUUGAAGAGUUGGUGGAGGUGGAAAAGCAGAAACGAUGUGUAGAGAACACACAGUGCAGCCAAUAAACCUGUGGAAAUUCUUCAAACUCAACUGGUACAUAACGAAUCAAGCUGAAAUAAAACAGGUUUCACACACAAAGAUCUACAAGGCUGUCAAAAUGUAAUGUCAGAAAGUGUGUGAAGAAAUGAACACUGUCUUUUCAGUGGUAAAUUGUUAUACACAGACUUCCUAGUGGUGGCUUGAUAAUAUCUAAGGAUUUUUAUUCACUAGGAUGUUCAAGGUCUCAUGGUUAAUUAGACUAGUAUGGCUAAAGUUCUAUUUGCUGGUAGUGGUAGUAUGGUAGAAUGAAAAGGAUUUAGGGCAGAGAACUCCUUAUAGGUUGUGUUGGGUUUAUUUUGCAAUUUCUUUAUUUUUAUUGUAAUCUAUCUAUCUAUCUAUCUAAGUUUAC